GACGAACGCUGGCGGCGUGCUUAACACAUGCAAGUCGAACGGAAAGGCCCUGCUUUUGUGGGGUGCUCGAGUGGCGAACGGGUGAGGAACACGUGAGUAACCUGCCCUUGACUUUGGGAUAACUUCAGGAAACUGGGGCUAAUACCGGAUAGGAGCUCCGGCUGCAUGGUGGGGGUUGGAAAGUUUCGGCGGUUGGGGCUGGACUCGCGGGUUAUCCGCUUGUUGGUGGGGUAGUGUCUUACCAAGGCUUUGACGGAUAGCCGGCCUGAGAGGGUGCCCGGCCACAUUGGCACUGAGAUGCGGCGCGGCAUCCUACGGGCGGCAGCAGUGGGAAAUAUUGCGCAAAGGGCCGAAGCCUGAUGCAGCGCCGCCGCGUGCGGGAUGACGGCCUUCGGGUUGUAAACCGCUUUCCCCUGAGACGAAGCGUGAGUGACGGUAAUGGGUAAAGAAGCACCGGCUAACUACGUG
rnacentral:rRNA from 1 species